GUUCAAAAAUAGUGUCUGUAGUACUGUGAGGUUUGCAGAGCACUUAACAAAUGUUCCAGACAUUAACUCUUAGAAUUAGAGUGAACAAGUCAAGCUGCGAUCAGUUAAUCUCGAUAGUCUUAAAGCAGUAGCGUUGGAUAAACAGGUCUUGGGGAUUUCUAAAGCUGUUAAGCCUAUGAUGGUUUCAGAGUAGUGGACAGAAAUCAUUUCUGACAAUGUUACAUACUGAGGCUUUGAUGUUGAGGGAUAACGAUUGCAUUCAGCUUGGCUCUUUGCAGUGUUAAGUCUUUUUUUUCUGUAUAUUGCAGUUAUGCAUCAUGGAUGAAGUUGCUGUUGCUGAAGCUCCGCAGGUAUUAAAAUCACAGGCAAACAGGAACUUGACAACUGGAAAUAGAAAUGGUGUCAGCUGAAUCUAAGUUGCUGCAGUUGGAUUAUUUUGUUUCCCUGGUCUGUCCAGAUUCUGUGAUUAUCACAUGAAAUGGAUGAAAAUGAAUUGAUCUGGGUUGCUGUUGAUCAAAUGGGCUUAUCUGUCCUGAGCCAAAGGUGAAGAUGUCGAAAAGCAUAAAAUGUCAAGGGGUUGGAGAAAACUGAUUUGGCAAAAAACCCACAGGAACUUAAAUACUGUCAAAGGAAUCCUUCUGAUGAAUCAUCAGAAAUAAGACUGCUGGCCCAACUUCCAAGUUAGGACCUUUUUGGGGAUCUGAGAAGUGGAACAAAACACCAGUAUGCUUUUAAAGUGUACACAACAGAAUUUUAAUAAAAUGAUAUU